rnacentral:rRNA from 1 species
CCUACGGGGGGCAGCAGUGGGGAAUAUUGCACAAUGGGGGAAACCCUGAUGCAGCAACGCCGCGUGAGCGAUGAAGGCCUUCGGGUUGUAAAGCUCUGUCCUAAGGGAAGAAUACUGACGGUACCUUAGGAGGAAGCCCCGGCUAACUACGUGCCAGCAGCCGCAGUAAUACGUAGGGGGCUAGCGUUAUCCGGAAUUACUGGGCGUAAAGGGUGCGUAGGCGGUAGGGCAAGUCAGAUGUGAAAGCCCGGGGCUUGACCCCGGUAUUGCAUUUGAAACUGUCUUACUAGAGUGCAGGAGAGGAAAGCGGAAUUCUUAGUGUAGCGGUGAAAUGCGUAGAUAUUAGGAAGAACACCAGUGGCGAAGGCGGCUUUCUGGACUGUAACUGACGCUGAGGCACGAAAGCGUGGGGAGCGAACAGGAUUAGAUACCCGGGUAGUC